rnacentral:rRNA from 1 species
UACGUAGGGGGCAAGCGUUGUCCGGAAUCAUUGGGCGUAAAGAGCGCGUAGGCGGCCCUGUAAGUCCGCUGUGAAAGUCAAGGGCUCAACCCUUGAAUGCCGGUGGAUACUGCAGGGCUAGAGUCCGGAAGAGGCGAGUGGAAUUCCUGGUGUAGCGGUGAAAUGCGCAGAUAUCAGGAGGAACACCAAUGGCGAAGGCAGCACUCUGGGACGGUACUGACGCUGAGACGCGAAAGCGUGGGGAGCAAACAGG